rnacentral:rRNA from 1 species
AGGAUGAACGCUGGCGGCGUGCCUAAUACAUGCAAGUCGAGCGAACAGAUAAGGAGCUUGCUCCUUUGAAGUUAGCGGCGGACGGGUGAGUAACACGUGGGUAACCUACCUAUAAGACUGGGAUAACUUCGGGAAACCGGAGCUAAUACCGGAUAAUAUUUAGAACCGCAUGGUUCUAAAGUGAAAGAUGGUUUUGCUAUCACUUAUAGAUGGACCCGCGCCGUAUUAGCUAGUUGGUAAGGUAACGGCUUACCAAGGCGACGAUACGUAGCCGACCUGAGAGGGUGAUCGGCCACACUGGAACUGAGACACGGUCCAGACUCCUACGGGAGGCAGCAGUAGGGAAUCUUCCGCAAUGGGCGAAAGCCUGACGGAGCAACGCCGCGUGAGUGAUGAAGGGUUUCGGCUCGUAAAACUCUGUUAUUAGGGAAGAACAAAUGUGUAAGUAACUGUGCACAUCUUGACGGUACCUAAUCAGAAAGCCACGGCUAACUACGUGCCAGCAGCCGCGGUAAUACGUAGGU